UACGUAGGUGGCAAGCGUUGUCCGGAUUUAUUGGGCUUAAAGGGUUCGUAGGCGGUUUUGUAAGUCAGCGGUGAAAUAUGGCAGCUUAACUGUCAAGGUGCCAUUGAUACUGCGGAGCUUGAGUACAGAUGAGGUAGGCGGAAUUGACGGUGUAGCGGUGAAAUGCUUAGAUAUCAGGAAGAACACCGAUAGCGAAGGCAGCUUACUAGGCUGUAACUGACGCUGAGGCACGAAAGUGUGGGGAGCAAACAGG
rnacentral:rRNA from 1 species